AUCUUUGGUGAUUUAGUUGUAAUGACAGUUUUAAUAAAUCAUAAAGCUAGGUUACCAAAGCU
rnacentral:pre_miRNA from 1 species